AUGCAGGAUCACCUGGCGCUCCCCAAUAUCGCGCGUAUCCUCAUGGAGGAGGACGAUGACAUUGACGAAGACAACCCUGCACUCCUCAAAGCCCAGCGACCCUUUGCCCAAAUCCUAUCUUCCAGCAUGCAUGCCUCCACCUUAACGGCAGACCAAGGUGGCGCCUUGGCCAGCGACAUGCACUCUCUCAGCUCAGGCAUCUUGAAGUUCAAGGGUGUUGAUGAGGUCCGCAGCUUGCUGUUGCUCGCCAAUGGAGAGUUCAGCACUGACAUCUUUAGCACUGCUUUCCUCAAGGGCAUGGAAGAGGCGAAGAAGUUCUUGCCCACAAACAGUGAGCUGACGACCACCGGUGAGCAGGACCAACCGAAGGAGAAAAGCAGCAGGGGCCGCAAGGACUGGAGCAACGAGGUGGAGGCUGAUGUCAGUAGGACGGACAGAUUGGUCGAAGCUGGUGCCUGCGAGGUGUUCGACUUCAAUCAAAUGUGCAGUUCCAUGGACAAUGAGACUGGGAACAGUAACAAGAAGGGGAGAAAGAGCAAGGCACGGGUGAUUGACCUGCACACGCUGCUGAUCCACUGUGCCAAGGCGGUGAUGGAUGACCGCCGGAGGGCAGGUGAGUUGCUCAAGGAGAUCCAGCAGCAUGCCUCACCCACUGGUGACGCAACACAGCGGCUUGCCUACUGGUUCGCUGAGGGGCUGGAGGCACGGCUCACUGGCACAGGCAGCCAAGUGUAUGGGACGCUUACGGCUAAGGGCACCUCUGCUGUGGCACACUCAGAGGCUUACCAAGAAUUCAUUUCAGCAUGCUGCUUCAGGAAUGUAUCCUUCUUGUUCGCCAACAGGGCCAUCUUCAAUGCGGCAGUGGGGAGGAGCAGGUUGCACAUUGUUGAUUAUGGCUUUCGUUAUGGAUUCCAGUGGUCAGAACUGCUGCGCUGGCUGGCAGCAAGGGAUGGUGGCCCACCAGAGGUCAGGAUCACGCACAUUGACCUCCCACAGCCCGGAUUCCACCCAGAAAAACAUAUGAAGGAGAUCGAUUCUCGGCUGACUGACAUUGCCCGGGACCUUGGUGUGUCGUUCAAGUACCGUGCCAUUUUGGCGCAGUGGCAGACCGUUUCCAUCGAGGACCUGGACCUGGACCUGGAACCUGAUGAGGUGCUUGCUGUGAAUGACCUGUACAAUUUCAGGACCUUAAUGGAUGAGAGUGUCGUCAUAGGCAGCCCGAACCCCAGGGAUACUGUCCUCGGCAACAUCAGCAAGAUGAAACCGGACGUGUUUGUCCAAAGCACCGUGAAUGGCUCCUAUGGCACCUUCUUCUUGUCACGGUUCCGCGAGGCCCUCUUCUUUUACUCUGCACUGUUUGACAUGCUUGAUGCAACCAUGCCAAGGGAGAACAAACUGCGGCUGGCGCUGGAGCGCAACAUCUUUGGGUGGGUUGUCCUGAAUGCCAUUGCAUAUGAGGGAAAGGACCGGGUGGAGCGUUGUGAGACCUAUAAGCAUUGGCAAGUCAGAAACCAACGUGCAGGCCUGAGGCAGCUGCCACUGGACAGAGAAACUGUUAAGAUGGCUAGGGACAUGGUAAAGAACAAAUACCACAAGGACUUCCUCAUCGACGAGGACCAUCACUGGCUGCUGCAAGGGUGGAAGGGCCGCAUCCUCUUGGCUCACUCAACAUGGGAGGCAGACGGUGCUAGCUCCCACUGUUAA
rnacentral:rRNA from 1 species